rnacentral:rRNA from 1 species
AACGAACGCUGGCGGCGUGCUUAACACAUGCAAGUCGAAUGGUAAGGCCCUUCGGGGUACACGAGUGGCGAACGGGUGAGUAACACGUGGGUGAUCUGCCCUGCACUUCGGGAUAAGCCUGGGAAACUGGGUCUAAUACCGGAUAGGACCACUGCCUGCAUGGGUGGUGGUGGAAAGCUUUUGCGGUGUGGGAUGGGCCCGCGGCCUAUCAGCUUGUUGGUGGGGUGAUGGCCUACCAAGGCGACGACGGGUAGCCGGCCUGAGAGGGUGACCGGCCACACUGUGACCGAGAUACGGCCCAGACUCCUACGGGAGGCAGCAGUGGGGAAUAUUGCACAAUGGGCGCAAGCCUGAUGCAGCGACGCCGCGUGAGGGAUGACGGCCUUCGGGUUGUAAACCUCUUUCAGCACCGACGAGGCGCAAGUGACGGUAGGUGCAGAAGAAGGACCGGCCAACUACGUGCCAGCAGCCGCAGUAAAAC